rnacentral:rRNA from 1 species
CCCUUAGAGUUUGAUCCUGGCUCAAGACGAACUUUGGCGGCGCGCCUAACACAUGCAAGUCGAACGGAGCUAUGUUGAAAGCUUGCUGGAUAUAUAGCUUAGUGGCGGACGGGUGAGUAACACGUGAGCAACCUGCCUUUCAGAGUGGAAUAACGUUUGGAAACGAACGCUAAUACCGCAUAACGUCAGAGGAUGGCAUCGUCUUUUGACCAAAGAUUUAUCGCUGAAAGAUGGGCUCGCGGCCGAUUAGGUAGUUGGUGAGAUAAUAGCCCACCAAGCCGACGAUCGGUAGCCGGACUGAGAGGUUGAACGGCCACAUUGGGACUGAGACACGGCCCAGACUCCUACGGGAGGCAGCAGUGGGGGAUAUUGCACAAUGGGGGAAACCAUGAUGCAGCGACGCCGCGUGAGGGAAGACGGCCUUCGGGUUGUAAACCUCUGUCUUCGGGGACGAAUAAAUGACGGUACCCGAGGAGGAAGCCACGGCUAACUACGUGCCAGCAGCCGCGGUAAUACGUAGGUGGCAAGCGUUGUCCGGAAUUACUGGGUGUAAAGGGAGCGUAGGCGGGGAGGCAAGUUGAAUGUCUAAACUAUCGGCUCAACUGAUAGUCGCGUUCAAAACUGCCACUCUUGAGUGCAGUAGAGGUAGGCGGAAUUCCUAGUGUAGCGGUGAAAUGCGUAGAUAUUAGGAGGAACACCAGUGGCGAAGGCGGCCUACUGGGCUGUAACUGACGCUGAGGCUCGAAAGCGUGGGUAGCAAACAGGAUUAGAUACCCUGGUAGUCCACGCCGUA